rfam:Otolemur garnettii contig149884, whole genome shotgun sequence.
AAUGCGCCUGCAGCUCGCGCUCCCGCGCCAAUCCCGGGAGCGUCCGGUCCGUCGUGCACGAGCUUGGGUGAAGGCGCGCGCGGUGGCAGCGCGCUCGUGAGUGCGGGGCGCGCGCUCGGUGGCGCGCAUGUGCGUGUGUGCUGACUGCCGGGCUGCCCCGAGCGGGCCGGGAGCCGGUACGCUCCAGGUGGCGGGCGGCGGGAGCGAGGUGAGGCUGCGGG